GUUUAAUAACAACUAACGUUAAUUACAAACGUGGUGAUGUUUGCUAGCAAUAUGUUUUUGCGUUAAUGAAUUAACUUAGUUAACUUAUAGUUUGAAAUAUGCUGUUUGCAAUUGUUUGCUGCAGAGCAUAGUAAUUUAUGUGAGUAAAUAAACAUAUUCCUUUUACAUCAACUCCCUAUUAUGGUCAUAAGUUAUAUGAAACUUCCCCAGGAGCACUGUUAAAGUAUUUUGGAGGAGGUACUGGCUCAGCCCAGGGGCAGUCCACCUCCUCAGGCUCAGCCAAGGCUAAUGAAUCGGGUCCAUCCCCAUCCUCUGCUCCCUCCACUGUGCCCACUGUCCCCUCUGUGUCUGCUGCAACCUCAGCUCUACCUGGUCCAUCUCCAUCCUUUGCUCCAUCCACUGUGCCCACUGUCACCUCUGUGUUGCAGUUUAUUUCAAACAAAAAAUAAUAAAGCAGAUUGUGUUUACAGUAAAUGAUUGGUUUAUUUUGUUACUUUUAGUUUGCCUAGAUGACAUUCGGCAUCCAACUUAGUACUAUAUCACUUUAAAUAUUAAGUGUAA